AAAUAACUAAUACACAUGCAUAAAAAAAAAUGUCGCACCUGAAAAAUGAUGUAGUCUUUUAGAAUUGACAUUUCUGUACCAACACGUGAAAAGGAUCUAUCUCCAAAAGUAAACAAAAAACAUUUUCAGUACCUCAUGAUAGGCCAACAGUUGCUCUACUUAACGGUAAAACCCUUUUGAGAAAAUAAUAUUCCGUUACAUUGAAAACUCAAUUUGAGUAAAGGAUCUAUAAACAUUCUAAAACCAGAACUGCCAUUACAUGGAUAUACAUCCUUUACUCCGAAACAAUUUUUCGCUGCUACUCCGCAAACAAACUCAAAAUAAUCAAUUUGACUCUUUAUUCAACAUAAAAACAUAGUUGCAAAUGAAUGCGAGCUUAUAACUAAAGCUAAAAAUAAGAAAAUAGCAAAGGGUGUAUAAACAGGUUAGACAAAAUAUUACGAGAGCUAGGUUCUAUCUACGAUAGUGCGUUGUUUUUUCAUGAAAAUUGAUAUUCCUUUAUUCUAACAUGGGAUGCUUCUUAAAAAUCGUUUGUCUAUCAUGAAAACCAAAAAUUUGAAGUGAUUUUUAAUUAGGGAUUUAAAAUAGGUUGUAUUUUUUUAAACGCGUUUUUCUUGAUACGCCAUAUAUAGAGAUAGAUGCUUUUUAUAUGUUGGUAAAGAUUUGACACUUUAUUCAACAUAAAAACAUAGUUACAAAUGAACGCGAGCUUAAAACUAAAGCUAGAAAUGAGAAAAUAGCAAAGGGUGUAUAAACACGGGAGAUAAAAUAAUACGUGAGCUAUAGGUUCUAUCUACGAUAGCGCGUUGUUUUUUCAUAAAAAAUUAUAUUCCUCUAUUCUAACAUAUAGGGGAUGCUUCUAAACAUCGUUUGACUUUUAUAAAAUGCAAACAUUUCAAGUGAUUUUUAAUUAGCGAUUUAAAAUAGGUUGUAUUUUCUUCAAACGCGUUUUUCUCGAUUCGCCAUAUAUGGAGAUACAUCCUUUCCACGUGUUGGUACAGAUUUCGUUUAGGGCAUCCGCAGCAAUCGCGAGCAAAGUGAAAAUGCUCACGAGUUUGAUCACUUUUAUACCGCACCGGGGGUUGGUAUAUGGGUGAGCAAAAUAGGGCCGUUGCCGUCGGGACCGAUAAAAUCACCAAAUUUGCUCACAAGAAAGGGGCGAGAGCAAACAGGCACUGAAAAAAUUUUACCGUUUAAUGCUGAGUUAAACAAACGACGUUCAGCGUGUAGAGUUUGUUUACAUUCCAUUUUGCGCAUCGGGUCGAACUGGUCCACUGAACACCGGCCGUGGUGGAACCGGCAGACUCGUUUACGGGAAGAGCAGAAAUUUUUCCAAUCAAGGUGCAUCUCCCAGGGUUAACAACAACGGAACUCCGAACCAGAAUCAUGGCCUUCAAUAACUUCAAAUCAAUCUUCGAAGUAACAGCAACAUCAACCACAAUCAGUUCAAAAAACAAAGAAAUUUUCAUUCGUGAUUUCAUCCGAAGCUCCAUGGUUCGCCGAUUCGACCCGAAGGAUUGCUAAAAGGAAAAAAGUCUCCGUUCUCGAAUUUCAAUAUUCGCUGGUGGCCGAUUCUGAUAAACAUUGUUCCGGUCGUGUAGCUGUGAUUUUAUUGGUCUGUGUGCUCUACGCAUAGCGAACCAGAAUACAUACAAAAAUAGGAAAAAUGAAAAUCAGCGCUUCUAAAAUAUCAGGUUCGUCUGCAAAAUGCUUUCGGGGAUACAAUUUGAUAUCGUUUGUUGGCAUUGGAAACGUCUUCCGGAAAGUCGAACAACUUAACCCAGUUGAGAGGACUAGGUCAGCUUCAAAUUGGCCUUCUAAUCAGUGAGCAGCUAAUCGAUUGAGACAGUGGCUCAAAAACAUAAUAGGAUGGCGUACUGGAUGAUGAUGUAUGUGUCGAACAACAGUGCAAACAUGUUAAAUUUGAAAUAUUUGUUAAGUGUUGUUUUCUACUAUUGAACUGUAAUAAAUAAUGUAUCAUAAA